ACGCUACGUUCAGAGUUUGAUCCUGGCUCAGGAUGAACGCUGACAGAAUGCUUAACACAUGCAAGUCGACUCGAGUCUUCGGACUUGGGUGGCGCACGGGUGAGUAACACGUAUCCAACCUGCCGAUCACUCCGGUACAGCCUUUCGAAAGAAAGAUUAAUCCCGGAUGGCAUGGCGAUUCCGCAUGGUUUCUCCAUUAAAGGUUUUUUCCGGUGAUCGAUGGGGAUGCGUUCCAUUAGGCAGUUGGCGGGGUAACGGCCCACCAAACCUACGAUGGAUAGGGGUUCUGAGAGGAAGGUCCCCCACAUUGGAACUGAGACACGGUCCAA
rnacentral:rRNA from 1 species